UGGCUCUUAGGUUUUGAUUUAAAUUAUUUUUUCUUUUUUCAGUAAUCACAAUUUAGCAAUGUGAUUUUAAUUUAACUGUUUUAGAUUUUCGAUAAAAUAGUAUUUCAUUCAUUCUUUCUUUUUUUUUUCUGAUGCUACCUUACAUAACAUGGCUUGCUGAUCUUCUUUCUUAGUGUGUGAAAUGUGGAUAUCAUGAUUUCAGCUACUCAAUUCUUGUCAAUAGGAAUUCUAUUUAUUUUCAAUACAUGGAUUGUAAUGCAUCUUACACAAGAGGACUAUGCGGAUAAGAUGUCUUAUAGGAAGUUCGAUCACCCAAGACACAGUUCUCUUAGCUUUCUUCCAAGGAUGCCAGCUUCUCGUCAUCAUGGAAAAGUGAUUUGUGGAUCACUCAUGUGGACAACCCAACGGUGCAAGAGCUCUAUUUCCUGCUAAUAAUCUGCUGCUAGGAUCCUUGUCAAAGGCUGGACGGUUUCCUCC